UUAAGCGCAAGUUAAACUCAAAAAAUAGUGAAAAGGAAUGAAAUUUCUUAUUUAAAUUAUGAUACAAGAACUCAUUAAGCAGUCUUCAGGAAAAAAGUAGAAUGGGGAAACUAACGCUUCUCCCUUAAAGUAGGCUGCACAAAACUGCAAUGCUCUUAAUUACAUAGUGACGCGUUUAGCACAGAAACUGUAUAAUAAGAGCAGAAGAUUGUCCGGCAGAGUAUAUAAGUCAAUAUGGAAUUCACCCCCUUCAAUGUCGUUUCGGACAUACAUGUCUGGUGUUUUGUUCUCAUUCACCAUCUGCACAACUUGUAACAAGUCAUCCUCCUGAAGUUUUUGCAAACCCUCUGCAAGUUUAUCCAUGUCAACAGGUUUAGCUUUCGCCUUUUUCUUCCCAGCACCAACUUCUGAUUCGUUUUUUCUUUUAUCCUUACGAGCUUCUUCACCUUCAUCACUGUAGCCAGGUACUUCUCCAGUGGCUGUCAGUGCCUUUAAUAAACCUGGCCUAGUAGCAUUGAUAUUCUAAGACUCAGUUAGCACCAUAAAAUCAGAGUCUAGUAAAUGUUAAAAUACUUAAAACACAUACCAAUUCGAUAUCCUCAUGAUAAUGCUCCUGCUGAAAAUGUAAAUAGUGAAGGAACCGAUGUUCACCACCUUUGUCCGCAUAGUAUAUUAUGAUCUCCAUUUCAAACUCACCCCAUCCUUGCUCUUUUAUUUGGAAAGGAGGUUUUCUGAUAGCUAAAAAAAUUAGUUAACGUUAUUCUGCUAAUCUUCCUUUCAUCACAUAAUACAUACUGCGUGUAGGAUUUUGAAAUGUUGGAUGUAGCUUAUAGGUGACACGAUCAACAAAGGAAGCGUCAGUUUCUUCUCCCUGAGGAUUUAAGCAGACCAAUUUUAUAGACCAUUCCCUCACAGGGAAGCUUUGAUCGUUCAACACAGCUGCUUCACCUCCCGGCAACACAUUCUAAAUAUUGUAAGUUCAAAGUUCAUCAAGAUACUUGCAAGAAAAAGUUUUGUUUUUUAUUGUUCUUCUAAAUUCAAUUGUACGAGCAUCCUGUAUAAUGCCAAAGUUUUUUGUAAUUGCACCUAACCUUGACCAUUGGGUCAAAUAACGCGCCUCGGUCGUAGCAAAUGAAUCAGAUGGCUUUCAUACCUGAUCAGUAAUUAAUCUCACAGUUCUUUUCACAGUUGUCAUAUUCUUAAAUCAAUGUAUAUGAGGACGAAAAAUAUAUGGAUAGAAGACGCUUAGCGAGUCGUGAGAAGAGAUAUCGGGCUAACGAUUCUAUAACUUUUGCGGUAUUCUUAAAAUUGAAAAGAUAAAAAAUCUUGCCAAUGUACGAAUUGAAAUAGAAGCACCAGUAAUUUGUGUUCAGAAAUAUUGAGCACUACUACUUUUAAGGACUUCUAAAAGUCGGUUAACUCAAGGAUAAAGCAAAUGACUUUGGUUUAAUAACAAAUAUCUCUUUUGUUAAAAUUUAUUAGCAGAUUACAGGGAAGUAACUGCUAAAACUGUGAGACUAUAAAACGUUUGAAUAGUGGAAUAUGACUUUUGGGUUCGUCACGGCCCAAAUUCCUGGAAAGUACAAGUAGACUUACAAACUGACAGUGAAGGUAUGGUACUGCAGUGUAAUAUAC
rnacentral:lncRNA from 1 species